ACGGGAGGCAGCAGUCGGGAAUAUUGCGCAAUGGAGGAAACUCUGACGCAGUGACGCCGCGUAUAGGACGAAGGUCUUCGGAUUGUAAACUAUUGUCGUUAGGGAAGAGAAAGGACAGUACCUAAGGAGGAAGCUCCGGCUAACUACGUGCCAGCAGCCGCGGUAAUACGUAGGGAGCGAGCGUUAUCCGGAUUUAUUGGGUGUAAAGGGUGCGUAGACGGGUUAUUAAGUUAGUUGUGAAAUCCCUCGGCUCAACUGAGGAACUGCAACUAAAACUGGUAAUCUUGAGUGUUGGAGAGGAAAGCGGAAUUCCUAGUGUAGCGGUGAAAUGCGUAGAUAUUAGGAAGAACACCAGUGGCGAGGGCGGCUUUCUGGACUGAAACUGACGCUGAGGCACGAAAGCGUGGGGAGCAAACAGGAUUAGAUACCCUGGUA
rnacentral:rRNA from 1 species